UACACACAUUGACACAGAGAGGGAUGAGAAGUGAGAUUGUUAUGGAAUAUAGUUACAAUAAACUGUUAUUUGAUUAAUCACAUAACCCAGAGCAUAAAUAAUUUUGUUGUUUAUUUUAUUUUUUCAUGUCCUGGGACGUUUUCAUGUGCUCCAUUAGUGUCAGAGGUUGAUGAUAAAAGGAAUUAACCACAUUUACAUUACAAAUCAGUGCCUAACUCACACAGACUCCAAACAGAUACAACAAAACAACAUGCCUUGUUCUCUCACUGUUAAAUAUUCUGGGAAAUUAAAAACAAAAGAUUAAAAAAAGAGAGAUUGUUCCCACUUUGUGUAAAGAACUUGGUUGUCAAUGAUAUUAUGUGUACCCUUAUUAAAAUACAGUUGCUGUACUUUGCCCUUCUCAAAGUAAUCAAGCGUUGACAUAAAAUGUACUUGUCAUAAAAGGCAUGAUAUAAAGAAAACCAUCUGGCAUUUAAUAUGUCUAAAGGUACAUUUACCUUACACUUGCACACAUAUUAAAUGACAUUUGGCAUCCACAAUAAAGGAAAAAAAAAAAGGGCCUGUCAAUUGCAGUUAUUUAUGAUUGUCCCACCCUAUUUGUCAGUGUGUAUUGAUUGUAAAACUUUAUUUCCUUAGUGACUCAUGUUAGCUUUUGCUCAACAUUAUUAAUGAUGCAUAACAAGGUGCAAAUCUUCCUGACUCAUUUGGGGCCCCAAAAACAACUACAUAAAAGUACAGACUGACAUGUCACAGUUGAAACAAAGGGCACUAGGAUAAUGUGUAUUGUUGUUAGAAAACCACACAAACUUACACUGGUGCAACAGACAACUCCCUUUCAAACAGAUGUUGAGUUUGAAAAAAAGGGUUUAUUGUUUACAAGUAGUAGUAGUUGAAGUAGUUUAAAGGCAUUUGUUGUGCAAUAAGCAGCUGUGGUUUAGGGUGAGACUGCUUCAUCUUAGCAAUAACUUAUAUGUUGUGCAAUAUGCAGCUGUGGUUUUGGACUGCUUCAUCCUGGCAAUAACUCAGCAAAAAUAUAAGUCCUGAAAUACCACUGUCCUUAACAUGUUACAUUUAACCUGGGUAUGUAUUGAAACAGACUGAAAUCUGCACAGCUUGACCAAGUAUACUUUCAUAGUUCUUAUUGUUAUCAGGAACUGACAACCUGGUUUUAAAUUGUUUUAUCCAAUUUUAUAAGCAUGUCAAUCAAAGCAAAACUGGUAAAUAGUGAUGAAAAUACUCAAAGACUCCAAUAUUUAUCAGGGGAAGUGGAGAAAAUACUAUCACUAAAGAGAACUUGGGUUUUAUAGUUUCAUGUGACCAAAAAACUUGAUUUAGGGAGAAAAUAUAAGUCCCUGCCCAUCUGAACUUUUGCGCAACUGCUCUGUCUUACAGCAGUAUUUAAACAUCAAGUCCAAGUUCUCUCCUCCUCUCUCUCCAAGUCCUACAGCUUGUAUACAUCUCAGCUUCCACUUAAACUCUGGUCUUUGCUGGAAAAUGGCAACAGCUGGAAAGGUAAGUGUGUGCAUGUGCGUGUGUGUGAGAGAGUAGUGAAAAGUUUUGCAUGCCCAUGUUUGUUCCUAUUCCUCUCAAGCUCUCAAAAUUACCAAUGAUGCUGCAAUAAUCUGUUCAUAAAAAGGCAACUCUGUCUUCCUCUUUUCUUUCUUUCUGAAAUGUGCCCACAGUCAGAGACAAAAAAAAAGCCAUAAAAGCAGACUGGUUCAUCUUAAUCAGUAACAAUGACAGAUUCACUCUGUGGUUUACUCAUAUGAAAUUGAAAUACUGUUCAUAUAUUUUUUAAAUGUUGGUAUAAAACUUCUGCUUUGAUGUCUGCUUUUGAAAAACCACCGUAUCAGAUAAUGAGAACCCACUGAACCCUGCUGUUACAUAAUGAAAUGUGUUUGGUGUUUACAGUGAUGAUAGUUCCACAAAUUCCACAGGAUACGGAACAGCUGUGCUGUGCUCCUGAACGGCAGCCUGACCAAAUAUGCAAGCAUUAAGGUCCUUACACCACGGGAACGACACAAAUAUACGCCGCGAAAUUAUUAAAUAUUCUUCGACGAAUUUUGACGUGCCUGACUUCACGCAUCAAGCACAAUGCGAUUUUGCGACUUUCCGGGGAGAAAAAUAGAUGCAUCCCGGGUGGAAGCGAGAAGACUGACACAACAGCAGACUGAGUGUUUUUCAGUUCUGAUAGACACUAGUGUUGAAAUGGCUGUCUGCCAUGAUAGCAUGUACUGAGUCGGGGCCAGUACCAGAUAAGUACAUUAAACUAUAAUCCAUAAACGGAAGGUAACAACCAAGACCUAAUGAUGCUGUGACAGCAAUGCAAUUGGGUUUGAGACAGUGAAAAUACAUAAGGUACGUUGUACCUGAACAGGUUAGCUUACAAGCUAAAGUUACUUAGUACAGAUGAAAGUUAAAACAAAGAUGUCUACAAACUGUUAAAGCAGACAAACUGUCAUCAUAUGAGAAAUCCAACGCUAUGACUCUCCAUAAGUUGUCCUUUAGGUGGUUAUCUAUGUAAUAUAACAACACGAAAACUGACUGGUCGAAAAAACGGGAAAACAUCAUUGAUGUGAAUGCUUGUGUGACAGGAUACGGGUUCGAAAAAAAAAUACUGAUGUCUGACAUAAUCGCACAAAAAAAAAUGCUGCCAGUGUGUGAGGACCUUUAUAAUCAUUGGUGUGAUUCCACACAAUGCAUAUGCUGUCCUGUUCUGCUGCACAUCCGCUUUGGCGAUGGGAUCAGAUACGCAAGGCUUCUAUUUUUGCCAGACACUGCAGCACAACGCAUCAAUUCAGUGCAGCGCAGCACAAGCAGCAGCGAAAGAUGUAUGCAGCUACAGAGUAAAACAUGCAGUUAAUUUUCAAAAUAAAAUAAAGUAAAUACAUUGAACUGUUCUUCACAUGAUAAUGGGGCCAGGGAUGUGGGAUGUGGGGGUUCAUAUAUACCGCCGAUCUCAUUCAAUGUCUCGCGAUGAAACACAUGCGAUCUCGUCCAGUCUUGCGAGAAAUAUCUGUAAUAUUGCAAGCGCUUAUCCUCUGACUGCGGCAGCGGAUCGGAUCCAGUGGGCGCUGUAUGCUUGCAUUUUUGAUCCGCCUGCCAUUCCGGAUCUGCCUGCAGUGGAAUCCUUGGAUUUUUAGUUUACUUAUGGUGCCAAAAAAUGCACCCAGGCUGUCUUCAGUAGUUUAAAUUGUCCCUAGUCAAGUGCUUUACUGCAUUUCUCCACUUCUCUUGAUUGCCUUCACUGUUGCUUCUUUUCUACUUUUUUCUGUCUUUUUCUUCUUGUCUACUUCCCCUAUACAGUAAAGGCUUGUACAGUCUUUUUUGCCAGGCUAAUGAAAACCCUCCUCAAAUUAAGCAUCUGCACUCCCACAAUCAAGGGGACUCACAACUAUGAAAACUAGUGGUGAUGUAAAACUGAGUAAGAGUCACUGUCAUUUAGGUCAUCAAGUGUAAGGCAGCAGUUGCCUGGGAACCCAACAAGCCUCUGGUGAUAGAGGAGAUUGAGGUCGCUCCACCUGUGGCAAAUGAGAUCCGCAUCAAGGUGAGAGAUAUCUACUUUUAAGGUUUUCACAUGCAUUUACACCUCCUUAAACUUUUGAGUUUAGAUGGUAAGUUAGUUGUAGAAGUAGUAAGUUGUAAUAACUCCAGAUUAACAUCUUCUUGGUCGUGCAGCGGAAGGGGUAGAGACCCUCUGAGGCCUCACAGGGAUUUUCUGAGCUCAGUAAGUUAACUAAAGAUUUAAGCAAACAAGUAGCUGAUUCUUUCAUCUAGAGACUUAAGAGACACUGCUAAAACCUGAAAUAUUGAAAUGGACAGUUUUAGAUUUCAGUUGCAGAUGUAUACAUCUGGACUUGCUGGACUCUGCUUUUUUUGUCACAUGAAAUGACAGCUGUCUCAUAUGUGAUCAGUUUUGUCUCAGGGCUCAAAGAAAGAAAAUACAAAUCUGUAGCUGUCUGAUUUAUAAACUGACUCUCAGAUUUCCAGUACAUUAUCUUGAGUUUCAUAAAGAAGCCGAGGUCUAUCUAGUGUCCUCUCCAGAGGAUGAUCAGUAUUACAGAAAAUGAACUGAAAACAUCUGUAUUGCUUUUAUUUUUAUUUAUUUAUUUUUGCAGUGUAAAGACAGUAGUUUUGCUGUAACAUAACAAUGCUAGUAAGUAAAGAAAAUGUUGAAGUUAGACAUUAAAUUAGAUUCACAUGAGUUGUUGGCAUGGUAUGUUACACACCUGCAUUUCAAAUAAGGGACUACAGCCAUGUUUUCUUAACUCUUACUUAAUAAGCAGCAUGAUUAAUAGGAUACUUAGGGUUUGUUCUUAAAAUUUCUCUGUUUUUUCCGACCCCCAUUUGCACUGCUUUAGAUUUCUAUUGUGAGACGAAAACUUGAAAAUGCCUGAGUUAAAAGUCAACCAUUGAUGCAUAUAUGCUGUUUUUCAGAUAGCAGCAUGCCCAACCAUCAAGGAAUUAACCACUGUAUUUUCUUUAUGUGGUCAUUGUUCGGUUCCAGGUUGUGGCAACAGGAGUGUGCCACAGCGAUCUGUAUCACAUGUUUGAGAGUAUGAAUAAGGAUGGCUUUCCUGUAGUCCUUGGUCAUGAGGGAGCCGGCAUUGUAGAGAGCACUGGGCCUGGAGUCACAGAAUUCCAAAUAGGUCAGUCAAUACUCAGUUAUCUGGUUUACCCACUGAAUGUUUUCCAUUUAAAACUGAAAUAGAAUAAUAGUCUCAUUGCUUUUUAAUUCCAGGGGACACUGUGAUUCCUCUGGUCAUCUCCCAGUGCAGGAAGUGUCGCUUCUGUAAGAGCCCAAAGACCAACCAGUGUGAGAGAGGAUGGUAAGCUCAUGUUUUCUCAACUUAUAAAUGUAUUUAACAUUUGAGGCAACUAAACAUCUUUUUUACUUUUUCCUCUUUACAAAGUGUUAUUUCAAUUGGUCAACUGGUUGGUUCAACUUUCAACCGGUGAAACAAUGCCAGAAUUUAGUCAGUGAGUGUUUGUUGGUUUCAAUGAUUUCAGGGCUAAUGAUCGUUACGAUGUUAUGGCACCAGCAGAGUCCAGGUUUACCUGUAAGGGUAAGAAACUGCUGCAGUUUGUGGGCACUAGUACCUUCUCUGAGUACACGGUGGUAAACCAGAUAGCUGUGGCAAAGAUUGAUCCAGCUGCUCCUCUGGACAAAGUCUGUCUCCUUGGCUGUGGGGUCUGCACUGGUUUUGGAGCAGCAGUUAAUACUGCCAAGGUCAGUAUGUUUGAAUGUAUGCUACAGUCUUACAUGUUUCUUGGUGUACUAUACCUUCUGUGAUGAAUACCUACUAUACCUGUCUGUUAAAAGUUAGGCAUGUCAUGGUGUUUUCACACUUGAUACCCUUUAAAAGAACCAAAUUUUAUCCUCUUUAAGUGGACCAAAAGCAAAUGAACUCAGUUCUUUUUGUGUUCACAUUGUGAGUUUAUUUCAAAGAGGACCGGGUUCUCUUUCUGGUCCAGUUCAGUUUUGAUGGGGCCUCAGUACUCUUUCUGUUCACACUAGAUCCUCUGGAGGAUUUUAUCAUAAGUGCUAAGGUACUUUUGUCUUUGUUAUUUUUUUAAACUUUAACUCUGUACUGUAAAAAUGUUCAAUUAUAACUGGCCACUUUCAUCCUUUCUGAAAAUUCUUGAAAGACUUCUGCAUUAUGGUGGGUCAUAAAUAGUCAUGCUUUUAUGUUCUCGUCAUUCCGAAUUUCCAAAAGGCGUUAAGUUUUGUCUUCUCCCUGAACCACACCACGUCCAGGUAUCGUAGCAGAACCUUGGGAGCCACACUUUGGAUUUGGUGUUCUUUCUUUUCUCUACCCCUCUGAGUAAUCCCAGCUGCAGUCACAUGACCAAUCUGCGGCAAGCAAAGAAGGUUAUGAAUUAUAAUGCUGUGCAAAAGGCUAAGUGAACGCAAUGUUCAGUGAACCUUAAUGUUCACAAUGUGCAGAAUAGGCAAACCAUACCGCUGACUUUUAAGCAACCCUACUGGGUCUUAGGAGGUGGUUCACAUAUAGACAAAAAUUGCUGAGUAACUGGUCUGAGUUCAUUUCGAGGGCUGAAAGGAACCAAGUGUGAAAAUACUCUCAAACAAAACAGUGACCUCCCAAACCAGUCUAUCAAGUUUAGAUAUCUAAAUACAAGAGCUUCUUUUAUCCCCAAAGAGAAAUCCAUUUGUCUGGAAUCUCGUGACAAAAAUUCUCUGGUAGGACAGCCCAUAAACUGUGUAAAUGCAGUGAGGUGAGAGGAGAAGGUGACAUGGUUAAAUCUCCUUGUAUUGUUACAAGUGCCUCAGGAUGUUGAGUCUAUAUCCUCGCAACAGCAUCAUAGAAAAUACAUGUAUUCAAGUAUUGUUAUAUGACUGAACUCCCUUGGAACAUUACUGUGAACAAUGCAAUGUCUGGACAACGCAACUUCUCCUUGACAGUUUUGUGUGAAUAGUUACACCAUUUCUGUUUAAAAAAUAAAGCCAGACCUCCUCCUUUCUGCUUGUCACUAGCUUUAGCAUCUCUGUCUUACCUUAUGAGAGUGAAGCCACAUAGAUCCACACUGAAGUCAAUAUUGUUUUGAUUCAACCAGGUUUCAGUAAAACACAGGAGAAUGCACUCACGGUAUGCUUUUUCAGUCUUCACCAUAGACUGUACAUAAUAUGGACAACUUGGCUCUGCCUUCUAUCAUUUUACAAAUUUGAAGCCAAAUUGCUCUCAGUAUUUCCAGGACUUUCUUCACUUCUUGGAACCACCAAUGGUGCAGUAGCAUUGAACGCAUUUGGGAGCGUGGCUGUGAUGACGCUCUGCUUAAACAGUGUAUCCCAGGACGAGCUUAGCAAUCUUCAUACACCCAUAGGCUGUAUCAAGUGUCUAUCAUAGAAAACAUGAACCCCCUGAAAACUUUUGAAAACUGAGCUGCACAGAAAAAGAGGACUUGAGCACAAACCAGUCUCACAAUAACUACAGCCUAUGUCAACAUCCCAACCAGGGGAGAGAAAAAAAAAAUUCUGUGUGUAAUUAAUUUCUAAAGUUUGUCUACAGCGCCAUUAAGUUUGCUGGAGGAGGCGGGAUUUAUCCUUAUACUGCAAGCUGUCACCAGAGGUUGCUGUUCCCGCAGAGGCUUCAUCCAACUUGGAGGCAUAUGCUGUCCAUUCUAUAUACAGUCUGUGGUCUUCACCAAUGCUUCCAGCUCAUCACUUUUGUUGGGCAGAGUGUUGAUGUUUCUUAUGGUGACUGAUGGAGAAACGAGCUUAUAUCUCCAUUUCCUUCAGCUCUGCCUUCACCUCGGCACAGCAACUACUAAAACACCUCCAGAUGUUACUAUUAAAACAUUAUUGAAUUUCCUUUUGGGGAACAAGAAAGUUUUUAUCUAGAAAUUGGGGAAAUUUGGAGAUGCCAGACUUUACUGCUCAUUGGUUGAACACAGGUUCUGGAAUAUGUAAUAAGUAAUAAUAAUAGUAAUAACAGUAUAAGUCAAUAUAAGAUAAUUUAAGUCGAACAUCGUUGCUACAGGCGACACCAAAAAAAAAGGAAAAAGAUCUAAAUUCCAACAUAUUCAAAGCAAUGAAAAGUCUUACCUUGGGUACUAUGUUCAAAUAACAUGGUUUUUUUGUUUGUUUGUUUUUUUUCAGGUUGAACCGGGCUCCACAUGUGCUGUGUUUGGACUGGGAGCUGUGGGUUUGGCUGCUGUCAUGGGCUGCCAUGCUGCAGGAGCCAAGAGAAUUAUUGCUGUUGACAUCAAUCCAGACAAGUUUGAAAAGGCCAAGGUGUUUGGAGCAACAGACUUCGUGAAUCCAAAGGAUCACAAUAAACCCAUCAGCCAAGUCUUGUCUGAGAUGACCAAUGGAGGAGUGGACUUCUCCCUGGAAUGUGUCGGGAGUGUGGCAGUCAUGGUAGGAAGACAAAGAGUUUGUCCUAAACCGAUUAAGGAGGAAGAGGGCUAAUUAUGCUAACAGUCUUUGCUGGAGAGUACUGUUAAAACUACAAAAGCAAACAUUUUAUCAAGUGCACUUGUAAUUUGAGUCCACUGACUUUGUGCUGUUUCUCCCCCCAGCGCAGUGCCUUGGAAUCUUGCAUAAAGGGUUGGGGUGUCAGUGUGAUUGUUGGCUGGACAGACAUGUACGAUUUCGCUGCACGACCAAUCCAGCUGAUAGCUGGACGCACCUGGAAGGGCUCCUCGUUUGGAGGUGAGAUUCAAUCAGUUAUAUGAAAAAACCUUUUGAUAUACACGACAGGCCAAAAGUUUGGACACACCUUCUCAUUCAAUGUCUUUUCUCUAUUUUUUUUAUAUGACUAUUUACAUUGUACAUUAUCACUGAAGGCAUCAAAACUGUGUGAAAUAACUGAAAACAUGUUUUAUAUUCUAGUUUCUUUAAAGUAGCCACCCUUUGUUCUUGAUGACAGAAGUAUUUAGUGAGUCACAAAGUAACCCUGACAAGGCACACCUGUGAAGUAAAAACCAUUUCAGGUGACUACCUCAUGAAGUUCAUUGAGAGAACAGCAAAAGUUUGCAGCAAUAUCAAAAAAGCGAAGGGUGGCUACUUUGAGGAAUCUAAGAUAUAAAACAUGUUUUUAGUUAUUUCACACUUUUCUUAAGCACAUGAUUCCACACGUGUUCAUUCAUGGUUUUGAUGCCUUCACUUAAAAUCUACAAUUUAAAUAGUAAUGAGAAUAAAGAAAAUGCAUUUAAUGAGAAGGUAUGUCCAAACUUUUGGCCUGUAUUGUAAAUGUUUCUUUUAUUGUCACACAUUUUUCUGUCACCUGAACAACUGGAAAUUUCAAGAGUAUUUAUCUUCAACUCUUUAUCGGGAGUUUUUAACCUGCCAUGUAUCAGACUGAAGUCAAUACAGAUGGAAAAACCCAGGAAAGAUAUAUUUUUUUAAAACUUACCUUAUGUACAUAAAUAGCCAAUAUCUUAAAUAUAUGAUGUGUGAGGUUUCAGAUUAAGCGACAUACCAAUAGCUCCUGACAAUAGCUUUAAUAGAUGCAAUGCUGCAUUCCAGUUAUACUGGGAAGUCGGAUUUUCUGAGUUCCCAGUCUGACAUUCAUCAGAUUUUGGACUUACGAAAGUUGGGCGAUCUUCACCAACCCUCACAUGUCCACAAAGUCAGAAUCCAAGUUUUUGUGUUGAGAAAUUAAAUAAGUGGUGGAUGUAAUACUGUCCUACAUUUAACUGUGGACAUUUUACUAAGGUGUUUACUAAGGUGUUUGUAUUUGUAAAAUACUGUGUUAAGGGCCCGAUCUACUUAAGGUUUGUUUGUACAAAAACAUGUGCAAACCUGAUAGUGCACGCAAACCUGAUCUACCCACUGGGUGCACCGAGGAUUGUAUCUGUCAAAUGAGCAAAACAGCAUGUGCAAUCCAUUAUAUGUGUUCGCCUUCAUAAAUAUGCAGAAUGUAUGUAGAUCAUCAGACCACACAAAAUACAUGGAGGAGCAGAUGCAAAUGACAUAAUUUAGCACCCGCAAUGUGAUUUAUCAAACCUAUCUUUCUGAAUUAACCUUAAAUACAAAAAUAGUCAAUAUGCCAAAGACAAGAUACGGACUAUAGCUACAUUGAAAUUUAUCUGGGACGUACCCCUUAAGUCAGAUUUUGGACUCGGAAAGUCAGCCGAUCCCCAUCAAUCUCGACUUUACCAGAUAGCCAAGAUGGCAACAAUAAACACUAAGGGCUCUAUUUUCGUGCCUCGCCGGUGAGGCGGCGGAGGGUGGCGGGCCCCGCGCAGUUGUAUUUUCGUCUGGCGGAGCCCGGCAUACAGCCAGUUUGGUAUUUUCGUGGACUGAGGCGCACGGAGGCGAACCGAGAUGCGCCAAGCUGGGCGUGGUGGCGUGGCAGGGGGAGGUGUCGACAGAAUCAGUUGGGGCAGUGACAUUUUCGUGCAUGCCAGUGGCGUGUAAAGUGCGCCUUGUCGGCGCGGCGGACAAGACUUACGCCGCGCCUGCGGCAUGUCUCCGGCAAGGCACGAAAAUAGAGCCCUAACAGUGAAAGCUCUCAUAAUGUUUUAUUUAUAAACACUUUAUUUUUGUUUUUAAGUAGGUGGCUUAUGCAGGGCAUAAAAUUAACAGCCGCCAUUGGCGCGAAUAAGGAUAAAAAAUUAGUUAAAACAAAAAUAUGCCAGUGGCCGCUGGAAAAUUUGAAAUUGCAUGUGAGUUUUGACUGUCAGGCUAUUUUGACCCUCGCGGCGCACUGUAUUUGUGUUGUGAUUUGGUACGCCAGGAACGGCGUGAUGUUAGCUACUGGAGUUGUUUGAAAAAGCACAACGGAAGAGUGUUUGGAAGAUGUUGCAAUACAUUCCUGGCAUGAAGCCACCACAAACAAAAAGGACAAACAAAGAGGUAGCGAAGAGAUCCCCAUGGAAAAGCAAUCAGACCGAGACGCUAAGGCAGAAAAACUAAAAUGAUGGAUAUGAUGAUUAUUACUUCAAGGAAAUGAUAAAGUAAUGAUCAUAAAUGUUCUUCCUUGAGCCACAGUAUCAUACCAAUACCAAAAACAGGGCUUAAAAAGCUCCGGCAUGGUGCUGUAAAUCGAGCUCUAGAUCUUUUUAUUUUUCAUUUUCUUUAAAUCAUGUAUAAAAAAAUAAAUCACCAAAAACCCUCUAGUUAGUUAGAUCUGGAUAUGACUGGUACAGGUCAGCAUUACCCUGGAUAGUGUACAGCCUGCCCGAGAAAAAGAAGAAGAAGAGAAAGAAGAAGAAGUAGUAUCACAGAGCGGGGAACUGCAAAUUUGAAACGAUGGAUGCCAGGUACAUCAAACCAGGAAGAGAAACUGUAAUAUUGGAAGUUGGGGCAAAAAACAAGUGGCGCUGGGCUUGGGCAGGGGAGGCUGGAAAAGAUGGAAAGCCUCACGGUAGCUGGUGCUGAAAACUGAAAAAGACAGGUGCUUGUUUUUGUGUGCCGUGCGCCUGAAGGCUUUAAUAUAGCAGCAGUGGGAAACAAUAACUCUGAGACAUAAUGUUGUCUAAACACAAAUGAUGCCUCUUUCACGUUGUAACUGCACAGACUUCUAGCUACAAGAAUCAAAAAGCAUUUUUUUUUUUUAAACAAGCUGUUCUUUAAGCUGGAUGAAUAACAUUGAUCUCUAUGCAGCCAGUAGCCGGGCGAGUGUGCAAGGACCGUCUGCAAAUUGCAAUACAAGGGCAAGAUGCUGCAAACAAAAUCAAUAAUUCCACUAUUAUUUAGUACAGAGACUCCAAAAUCACCACACACACCAAGGGAGUCCUCAUGGUCAUACUGCAACAGCUGUUUUUGGAGAAAUGUGCCUUUUCACAAUUUUGGUGAUUUUUUAUUGUUCUUAAUGAUUAUUAUCUUCCAAUGUUAAUCAAUAGCUCAAAUGUUAUACAGCGUCAUACCCCCUCUCCCCCAAUGCAUAAGAAUUUUCAGGCACAGGAUUUUUUUCUGCUCUAAGCCUUGCCAAAAAUAAAAUGUCCAGCUGAACUCAAUCACUACAGACCAGUGGCUCUUACUUCACACAUCAUAAAAACCCUGGAGCGGCUGCAUACAAACCCUGCAGUUUGCAUUCAAACAACACAGUGGAGCAGUUCUGCAGUAAGAUGUUUUAUCAGUCUGUGGUGGCAAGUGUUCUGUUUUAUGCUACAGUCUGCUGGGGAGGCAGUAUAAAACACAAGGAUAAACAAACUGCUGAGAAAAGCUGGCUCUGUGGUUGGAAUCAAGUUGGACUCACUAGAAGGAUGUGGGAGAAGAAAUCUGAGCCAGGAACUUGACAGAUAUUUGAGAUAAUAUUAUCAAGUAAUGCUGUUUAAAAGUCCAGUUAAAAAUCUACCAGAAAGACCCUUAUUGGCAAAUCAAGCUGUCCUGAAUUUGUUUGUGGACCACAAUUGGCACAAGAAACCUUCUUAACUAUAAGGUACAAGUGAUGUUGUAAUGGGAAAAUUCUGGCCCAUUAAACUUUUCUCAGCUCUCCCACUAUUGUUUACCAACGUUAAAACUGAAAAUUGAAAUUGAAUCUAAGCCAUAUGGCAUAGAGAUAACAGAACUCUAAAGCUUCUAUUAAGGAUUUCACCAGUGUUUGUUAUUGUUUGUCUGUGUGUCAGGAUUCAAGAGUAAGGAUGGUGUAGCUGAAAUGGUUAAAGCCUACCUGAACAAAAAGGUGAAGCUGGAUGAGUUCAUCACUCACAACAUGACAUUGGCUCAGGUCAAUGAUGCAAUUGAACUGAUGAAGCAUGGCAAAUGGUAAAUUUUAUUUUAUUUUUUUCACUAUUUUCAAUCAUUCAAGACUUUCAAAGCAGCCACACUGAAAAAGAACAGCUUGAUUUCUGUUUUUGUUUCCACAGCAUUCGGACUGUCCUGAGUGUUUCCCAACAAUAAAAACAUCAUGUUCAUUUUAACAAUAACAAAACCAUUAAAUGACCAUUGGAGACAACUCUCCUGUUAUAAUUUUGGGCAAAAUGACUAAAAUGACUAAAACCUCAGUUUUGUUCUGGUUAAGCUGGAGAAAGUUUUCUGUCAUCCAGGAUUGGAUAUCGCAAAUGCAAUUAAAAGAGCAUCCAUUGGCCUGGUGUCAUCAGGAGAUACAGAGAUGUAGAGCUGCAUAUCAUCUGCAUAACUGUGAAAGUUGAUUCCAUGGAGACCUUUUUAUGGUAUUGUGACAGCAGAAAUAUGUGCAAUUUAUUUCACUAGUCCUAUAAACUUUCUUAAAAGGAAAAAAAUAAAAAAAAACAAAGAGGACAUCUUUUUUUUUUAUAUAUUCUUGAGUCCUUAAAAGACAUGGUGUGGUGUGAUAUUAACAUAUUUAAGUCCGGCCAUGUGAACUGAAUGUCAUUGGCAUUGAGCUUCAUAUUACCAGCAUGGCAAAAAAACUUGGACUGUUAACACAUAAAUCCAAGCGCAGCUCACAUUCAGAGCCUCUGAUCCCUGCUAAAAAUGAUGACAACACUGAACAAUAGAGUGGCACGUUUUUACUCAGGGAAAUAAACUCCCAGAGGGCUCAGUUUCAAAACUCAAAAGUAAGUCUUUUCUCUUUUUUUUUUUUUUUAACAGACCAAAAAUAAUUUAAAUAACUCUACAAUGAUCAGUAUUCACGUCUGAAAAAAUGUUUCGAGUCUUCAGAAAACUAUUUUAUUUACGUUUAAAAAAAAGUUUUAAUUUUAACAUUUUAAUUACUGGUACCUUUGUGCACAGACACACAUUGACAUAGGGAGGGAUGAGAAAUUAGAUUGUUAUGGAAUAUAGUUCCAGUGAACUUUGUCAUUUGAUUUAUCACAUAACACAGAGCAUAAAUAAUUUUGUUGUUUAUUUUAUUUUUUCAUGUCCUGGGACAUUUCAUGUGCUCCAUUAGUGUCAAAGGUUGAUGAUAAAGGAAUUAACCACAUUUACAUUACAAAUCAGUGCCUAACUCACACAGACUCCAAACAGAUACAACAAAACAACAUGCCUUGUUCUCUCACUGGGAAAUAUCCUGG